rnacentral:rRNA from 1 species
CGCCUCUUGCUCCCCAUAAGAGGUCCAGCCUGCCCAGUGACAUAGUUCAACGGCCGCGGUAUCCUAACCGUGCGAAGGUAGCAUAAUCACUUGUUCUCUAAAUAGGGACUAGUAUCAACGGCACCACGAGGGCUGUACUGUCUCCUCUUUUCAAUCAGUGAAACUGAUCUCCCCGUGAAGAAGCGGGGAUUAAUAUAUUAGACGAGAAGACCCCAUGGAGCUUAAAAUUCAAUGUACACCUCUUCCCCCAAAAUCAAUUUAACCAAAGACAACUGUACAUAAAUUUUAGGUUGGGGUGACCGCGGAGUAUAAUAUAACCUCCUCGAUAAACGGGCUAACGCCCUUAUCUACGAAUUACUAUUCUAAGAAUCAAUAAUUUGAUGUUUAAUGACCCGAUAACUCGAUCAACGAACCAAGUUACCCUGGGGAUAACAGCGCAAUCUACUUCAAGAGUCCCUAUCGACAAGUAGGCUUACGACCUCGAUGUUGGAUCAGGGUGUCCUAGUGGUGCAGCCGCUACUAAUGGUUCGUUUGUUCAACGAUUAAAACCCU